rnacentral:rRNA from 1 species
GGGGAAUCUUCCGCAAUGGGCGAAAGCCUGACGGAGCAACGCCGCGUGAGUGAAGAAGGUCUUCGGAUCGUAAAGCUCUGUUGUCGGGGACGAAUGUUGAGACCAAGAACAUAGGUUUCAAAUGACGGUACCUGACGAGGAAGCCACGGCUAACUACGUGCCAGCAGCCGCGGUAAUACGUAGGUGGCGAGCGUUGUCCGGAAUUAUUGGGCGUAAAGGGAGCGCAGGCGGGAAGGUAAGUCUAUCUUAAAAGUGCGGGGCUCAACCCCGUGAGGGGAUAGAAACUAUUUUUCUUGAGUGCAGGAGAGGAAAGCGGAAUUCCUAGUGUAGCGGUGAAAUGCGUAGAUAUUAGGAGGAACACCAGUGGCGAAGGCGGCUUUCUGGACUGUAACUGACGCUGAGGCAUGAAAGCGUGGGGAGCAAAC